CUCUCUCUCUCUAUAUAUAUAUGUGUGUGUGUGUGUGUGUACAUAUAUGUAUAUUUCUGCAUAUAUCCAAGCACGAGAAGAUUAUGUGAGAAUUCGGAAUUCGAAGAACAAUUUGCUUUCACUCCAUCCGCUUCAAAUCAUGCAAUUUUUGGACAAGAGGAAUGGUGCAACUCAAACACAUGGAAAAAGGUUGAAGAUUUCCUGAAACAUGGACCAAGUUCUAUUUGAUAGUCUUAAGAACAGUUCAAGAGUAAUGAUCCACUCUGACUUCUGUUUAAACAAUACAAAUGUAGAGACUUCAAUUUCAUGAAAAACUCUGG